GCUGGCGGCGUGCUUAACACAUGCAAGUCGAACGGAAAGGCCCUGCUUUUGUGGGGUGCUCGAGUGGCGAACGGGUGAGUAACACGUGAGUAACCUGCCCUUGACUUUGGGAUAACUUCAGGAAACUGGGGCUAAUACCGGAUAGGAGCUCCUGCUGCAUGGUGGGGGUUGGAAAGUUUCGGCGGUUGGGGAUGGACUCGCGGCUUAUCAGCUUGUUGGUGGGGUAGUGGCUUACCAAGGCUUUGACGGGUAGCCGGCCUGAGAGGGUGACCGGCCACAUUGGGACUGAGAUACGGCCCAGACUCCUACGGGAGGCAGCAGUGGGGAAUAUUGCACAAUGGGCGGAAGCCUGAUGCAGCAACGCCGCGUGCGGGAUGACGGCCUUCGGGUUGUAAACCGCUUUCGCCUGUGACGAAGCGUGAGUGACGGUAAUGGGUAAAGAAGCACCGGCUAACUACGUGCCAGCAGCCGCGGUGAUACGUAGGGUGCGAGCGUUGUCCGGAUUUAUUGGGCGUAAAGGGCUCGUAGGUGGUUGAUCGCGUCGGAAGUGUAAUCUUGGGGCUUAACCCUGAGCGUGCUUUCGAUACGGGUUGACUUGAGGAAGGUAGGGGAGAAUGGAAUUCCUGGUGGAGCGGUGGAAUGCGCAGAUAUCAGGAGGAACACCAGUGGCGAAGGCGGUUCUCUGGGCCUUUCCUGACGCUGAGGAGCGAAAGCGUGGGGAGCGAACAGGCUUAGAUACCCUGGUAGUCCACGCUGUAAACGGUGGGUACUAGGUGUGGGGUCCAUUCCACGGGUUCCGUGCCGUAGCUAACGCUUUAAGUACCCCGCCUGGGGAGUACGGCCGCAAGGCUAAAACUCAAAGGAAUUGACGGGGCCCCGCACAAGCGGCGGAGCAUGCGGAUUAAUUCGAUGCAACGCGUAGAACCUUACCUGGGUUUGACAUGGAUCGGGAGUGCUCAGAGAUGGGUGUGCCUCUUUUGGGGUCGGUUCACAGGUGGUGCAUGGCUGUCGUCAGCUCGUGUCGUGAGAUGUUGGGUUAAGUCCCGCAACGAGCGCAACCCUUGUUCACUGUUGCCAGCACGUUAUGGUGGGGACUCAGUGGAGACCGCCGGGGUCAACUCGGAGGAAGGUGGGGAUGACGUCAAGUCAUCAUGCCCCUUAUGUCCAGGGCUUCACGCAUGCUACAAUGGCUGGUACAGAGAGUGGCGAGCCUGUGAGGGUGAGCGAAUCUCGGAAAGCCGGUCUCAGUUCGGAUUGGGGUCUGCAACUCGACCUCAUGAAGUCGGAGUCGCUAGUAAUCGCAGAUCAGCAACGCUGCGGUGAAUACGUUCCCGGGGCUUGUACACACCGCCCGUCAAGUCAUGAAAGUUGGUAACACCCGAAGCCGGUGGCCUAACCGUUGUGGGGGAGCCGUCGAAGGUGGGCC
rnacentral:rRNA from 1 species